rnacentral:misc_RNA from 1 species
GCUCUCUUUUCUUCUCUUCAAGACGGAGGUCCGACCAGUCAGGAGGUCGCUUCCUCCUCCUCUUUCUCCAUUGCAAAAGCUUAAUAUUAAUGCUUAGUUUGAAGUUUGUACUAAUGUAACGUGUAUUUGAUUUACACCUGAUCUGGUAACUAAUCUGCUUUGGCGGGAAAAUUAUGCUAUAGCCUUUGAAAUUUUAGUUGUAUUAGAAGUUUUUGAGGUUCUAGAAAUGAAUCUGUUUCACUUGAGAUUUGCUACCAGGCUUUGGAAGUGCCUUGUCAGUUGUCAUUUGGCCACAUCAAGUAUCUUAUUUGACUGAUGCUUGCCUUCUUACCAAGAUACUAUAUUCUGCAUGACACCGAAACCUACAUGUGAUUUCACUACAAGUUCCUUCCACAUGGUCCCAAUUCAUCGCAGAAACGACGGCGUUUGAGAUGGAACUAAUGUCUUGCAUGGCACCUUCUUGUCUUUGCCCUCAGUUCACUUUGGAUUUCCAAAAAAAGGCAUAAACAAAAACGCCAAAUUCCUUUCCCUUCUGCCAUUAGAAUUUAAUUUCACUCAUAUAUACAUUUGUAUUUUAAUACGAGCCUAAUUAAAUUAUGAUGUAGCAUAAGCAUUGGAUUAAGAAUCAAAUUGUUCACUACUUUCAUGGCUAAA